GCCGGAAUAGCUCAGUUGGGAGAGCGUUAGACUGAAGUUGUUUACUCAACAAUCAUUUAAAGUUCCAGGUUCAAUCCCGGGUUCCGGCA
rnacentral:tRNA from 1 species